GCCCGACCGCAAACUUUUAUCUACACUUUAAAUCGCCAGGGAACUACGAGCUAAGCUUAAAACCCAAAGGACUUGACGGUACCCCAUAUCCCCCUAGAGGAGCCUGUCCUAUAAUCGAUAAUCCACGUUUAACCUCACCAUUUUUAGCCUAUCAGCCUGUAUACCUCCGUCGCCAGCUUACCACGUGAGCGCAAGUCAGUGAGCUUAAUGUUAUUUCACCAAUACGUCAGGUCAAGGUGCAGCAAAUGAAAUGGUAAGAGAUGGGCUACACUUUCUACCUUAGAAGAAACGAAAAACUACCUAUGAAACCUAGUUAGAAGGCGGAUUUAGCAGUAAAAUAAAAUCAGAAUAUUUAUUUUAAGUCGGCACUGGGGUGUGU
rnacentral:rRNA from 1 species